UCUAGAGCUAAUACAUGCGAAAAAAUCUUUCAAGGUGAGCAAUCAUUUUGAAGGUGAUGCAUUUAUUAGAUUAAACCAAUCAUUGUAUCAGUAGUUUACUCUAUUGAUGCAUUGUUGUGGUGAGUCUGGAUAACUGUGCCGAUCGUAUGGCCUAGAGCCGGCGACAUUUCGAUUAAAUUUCUGCCCUAUCAACUUGUUGGUAAGGUAGUGGCUUACCAAGGUGAUUACGGGUAACGGGGAAUCAGGGUUCGAUUCCGGAGAGGGAGCCUGAGAAACGGCUACCACAUCCAAGGACGGCAGCAGGCGCGCAAAUUACCCAAUCCAGACACUGGGAGGUGGUGACGAGAAAUACCAGGUCGUUCCCAAAAGGAUUCGACACUGGAAUGAGUGCAAUUUAAAAAUUUCAACGAGUAACAACUGGAGGGCAAGUCUGGUGCCAGCAGCCGCGGUAAUUCCAGCUCCAGUAGUGUAUCCAAACGUUGCUGCGGUUAAAACGCUCGUAGUUGGACAAUAGAGUAAUUUAGUGCGGGCGGGAAAUGUAAUUGCUCCAUGUAACUGACUAUUAUGAAUAGUAUAAAGUGGAAAGAAUGAGAUGGGAGGUAAAGAUAAGAUGGCUAUGAUGAAAGUUGUGGUUGUUUUGUUUUUAUUACUCGUUUUGUUUUUUCAUUUCUUUUGCUUAUUUAUGAUAGUAAAUAGUGCAUGGUAGUAGCACUUGUCGACCAUGCAGCUAAGUUACUUGUAAUGUUUCGUGAGAAUAGUACAUGAUCUUAAUUGUAUUGUGUACCAUGUCUUACGUAGUGUGCCUUGAAUAAAUCAGAGUGCUCAAAGCAAGCUAAUUGCUUGAAUGUUAAUAGCAUGGAACGAAUGUUUAGUGGAAGUGUAUUAAUGUGUAAUUAUGAGUAUUAUGUACUUGUAAGAGCGUGUUAAUACACAGCACCAACCACGAAGCGGAACAUUGGUUACCGACUUCGGGUGAGGAUUAAAAGGGGCAUUUGGGG
rnacentral:rRNA from 1 species